rnacentral:pre_miRNA from 1 species
UGUGAACUGUCCUUUUUCGGUUAUCAUGGUACCGGUGCUGUAUGUACGAAAGGUACAGUACUGUGAUAACUGAAGAAUGAUAGUGCCAUC